rnacentral:rRNA from 1 species
UGGCGACCGGCGCACGGGUGAGUAACACGUAUCCAACCUGCCUCAUACUCGGGGAUAGCCUUUCGAAAGAAAGAUUAAUACCCGAUGUCAUAGUCCUACCGCAUGAUGGGAUUAUUAAAGAAUUUCGGUAUGGGAUGGGGAUGCGUUCCAUUAGCUUGUUGGCGGGGUAACGGCCCACCAAGGCAUCGAUGGAUAGGGGUUCUGAGAGGAAGGUCCCCCACAUUGGAACUGAGACACGGUCCAAACUCCUACGGGAGGCAGCAG